AAAUCAAGACGACAGCUCCUUUUCUUCCACUGCGAUGCGUCUUCGAAGUUGGAAUCCUCCCCUGUUUUGUUGGAUUGAAACUCCUUAGAAGCUGCGCACGAGAAAUUCUCCCUAAGAUAUUGGCGCUGGCGGGGGGAAAUCUUCGCAGUUUGCGCCAAAAUCACAAACUCGAUUCUUAUCGGCUAAUCGUAACGGAAUCAAUGGAGGAUGAUUUUUAUGCUUUUAUGCCCAUUCCGCAAUUGGCGGACACACGAAGUUCACCCAGGCAAUUCAUCGAACAGGUGGAGACAAAAGAAUAGGUGUCUCCAUCUAUGCCUAAUGAGGUAAAUCAUGUUGGAGGAGGACUUCAAUUAAGGUAGGCGAGCAGAUCAGGCUGGCAAAUAGAGGGGCUUCAGUGCUGCCUUGUCAGUAGAUAGUGAGUAUGUUUGUGAAAGAUUUUUGUAUAUCCCAGCAUAGUUAGGGGUAUUUUGGGAAACAAAUAUAUGUGUAUAUUUUGGGAAACAUGUUAGUACUCUAGUAUUGUAUAUAUAUAUUUAUAUAUGGUUAUGCCUAUGUGAUUUUUGCUUCUC